rnacentral:rRNA from 1 species
GAGUUUGAUCCUGGCUCAGGACGAACGCUGGCGGCGUGCUUAACACAUGCAAGUCGAACGGAAAGGCCCCUUUCGGGGGGUGCUCGAGUGGCGAACGGGUGAGUAACACGUGGGUGAUCUGCCCUGCACUUCGGGAUAAGCUUGGGAAACUGGGUCUAAUACCGGAUAGGACUCCGAGAUGCAUGUCUUGGGGUGGAAAGUUUUUAACGGUGUGGGAUGGGCCCGCGGCCUAUCAGCUUGUUGGUGGGGUGAUGGCCUACCAAGGCGACGACGGGUAGCCGGCCUGAGAGGGUGUCCGGCCACACUGGGACUGAGAUACGGCCCAGACUCCUACGGGAGGCAGCAGUGGGGAAUAUUGCACAAUGGGCGCAAGCCUGAUGCAGCGACGCCGCGUGGGGGAUGACGGCCUUCGGGUUGUAAACCUCUUUCACCAUCGACGAAGGCCCGCUUUUGGUGGGUUGACGGUAGGUGGAGAAGAAGCACCGGCCAACUACGUGCCAGCGUCCGCGUUAAUACAUAGGGUGCUAGCGUUCGUCGGGAAUUACUUGGCGUAAAAUAAUUCA